rnacentral:misc_RNA from 1 species
GCAAUUAAAUAGCACACUGUUAAGUUGACAAGCAGAAUAGCUGAGAAAAAAUAAGUCCACAUCCACCAUCAAUCAUCUCUUGCCUAAGAUCAAUACAUUGGCUAUGUGAAAAAAUAACAGAGUUUGUAUACAGUGAGAACAUUAUUUGGAAUUGGGCAAGCAUGAAUUAUUAGACUAUUAACUAUAAAAAGAAUCCUUGCCAUGCAGAUUACUGUUGUAACAAUCACACAGCAUAAAUGCAUUAAAUUUCAAGAAUCUUGAUAUUGAUAAAUGCAACUAACAUAUGACAUUAAAUGCAUAUAUUAUAAACAUCAUAUAUUCAUAAUUCAUAUUUAUA